AUUGAACGCUGGCGGCAUGCCUUACACAUGCAAGUCGAACGGAAACAGGUUAAGCUUACGUGUCGCGUGCGGGUGAGUAAUGUAUCGGAACCAGCUCGGUAGCGUGGCAUAACUGCUCGGAAGACCAGCUAAAACCGCAUAUGACCUGAGAGUGAAUUUUGGGGCUCGUAAUACCUCGCUCGAUUACAGUGUUCGUUACAAGAUUAGGUAGUUGGUAAGGUAAUGGCUUACCAAGUCGACGAUCUGUAGCCGGUCUGAGAGGACGAUCAGCCACACUGGAACUGAGACACGGCCCAGACUCCUACGGGAGGCAGCAGUAGGGAAUCUUGGACAAUGGGCGCAAGCCUGAUCGAGCAACGCCGCGUGCGGGAAGAAGGCCUUCGGGUUGUAAAACGCUUUUGUCAGGGAAGAAAAGGUGCUGACUAAUACCUGGAACUCAUGACGGUACCUAAAGAAUAAGCACCGGCUAACUACGUG
rnacentral:rRNA from 1 species